UAAGUAAAGCCAAAUAGAAUAACUAGUAGAUAUUAUAGCCUUUUUGUAGUUUCUCGAUUACAUAAUUAAUAUUGUGUAUUUAUCGUGGAUGUUGUUGUUUAGCAUUUUCAAAUUACCUACCUUAGCAUUUUUUAUUACUAUAAUUUUUUUAAAAUUACCCUGGCCUUUAUAGCUAGCUAGCUAACCUUAGGUAUCUUUGUUGAUAGAAGCAAGGAUGGUUCUGUGAUACGUACCAGAUUGUAACCACUACUCCGAUAAGCACACAUGUGCAUUUUAUAAUUUUCCAACCUCUGUAACCGAGAAGCGUCGCUGGAGCCGUGUGAUAAGUCCAACAGGAGUGCAUCCCUCAGGUCAACCGGUGCAUGGACAUCCUGUGCCAGUGUGAUCCAAGCACGAGAGUCAGUUGUAGAGACUACAGCAGAUCGAGCAUGUGGACGGACAGGUCUCCCUCUGUUCCGUAUGGUGCAAAGGACCUUACCAUUGAAGAGGCAGUGAAGUCGAAGGAUUUUUAUAUCCAGGAGGAGGGAGGGUCUUACCGGGUCUCUGCUGCACAUCACAUUGCUUUCCUGUCCAACUUUAAGGUUUGAUGUGUUAACUGGAUGGUCAUUGACUGAACUGACGUAGAAGUUGCUACUCCAAGUCAGAUGGAUCUGCAGAAGCAAACCUACUCAGUGUACCGUUCGAUGCACUCCUUCAAGCUACUCCUGGGAGUUGCAACUAAUGCGGUUAUAACAUACUUUUUUAUCACUUGACUUAUCAAAUACAAUGGGAAGGAUCAUACAAAUUAAUACUGUGAAUACAUAUAGCUUUAUGACAGUGGUUCCCAACCUGAGGUACUAGGACCCCUGAAGGUUCUUGGCCUAUCCACAGGGGGUACUUGAGAAGACUCAUGAGACCAUAGGCCUAAUGGUAAAAUGCACAUGUGGGGGUACUUCAGGGGUACUCCGGGCUGAGCAAGAUUCAGUUGAUGGUACAGUAACCGAAAAAGGUUGGGAACUACUGCUCUACAGUGCCUUCGGAAAGUAUUG